GGCCUUGUACACACCGCCCGUCACACCAUGGGAGUGGGCUGCAAAAGAAGUGGGUAGUUUAACCUUUCGGGGAGGACGCUCACCACUUUGUGGUUCAUGACUGGGGUGAAGUCGUAACAAGGUAGCCCUAGGGGAACCUGGGGCUGGAUCACCUCCUUAUACGAAGAUAC
rnacentral:rRNA from 1 species